AGUAGCUGGGGAAAAUGGCUGGCAGGGCUGCUUCGGAAAAAUUUAGGAGAUUAAGAGGAAAAGGAGACUGAACGGCGUCCUGUCCCACGCCCACGACCGAGGGAUUCGAAAAUUCGAUCUUGGUCGCCUGUGAUCGUCCAAAAAAACUAGAGUUGGGGCUGGAAGCGUCUCCAAGUCAUCAGAAGUAGGUUGCAAGAUUCCCGAAGGUGAAGGAGUCUGAGGUAUCCUGGAGGAAGUAAUAGCCUCAGAACGCCUCACAAGCUCCGUGUGGCUCUGUAAAAACCGAAUGGUGGACUCACCGCAAACAAGACAGGAGACUGAAAAGAGGACUCCAAAAUCUGAAGGAGGGAUGAAAGGAUCGUCAUCAAGGGUCCCUAGGAUUGUGCAGUACUCAGCUUCAAAUAAGACCCCAUGAGGCAUCGAAAAGCAGUAACAAAGGCAAACUAAAUGAUUAGACUCCAGUAUGCCAUCAGGAUAAUAUUCACAUUAUUUGGGCACAGUGAGCCCUUGAGACGCUUGAUUAAUUCUGAAGUGGA